rnacentral:rRNA from 1 species
CGUGUAGGCGGUUAGUUAAGUUUGAUGUGAAAGCCCCGGGCUCAACCUGGGAAGUGCAUUGGAAACUGGCAAACUUGAGUACGGGAGAGGGAAGUGGAAUUUCGAGUGUAGGGGUGAAAUCCGUAGAUAUUCGAAGGAACACCAGUGGCGAAGGCGGCUUCCUGGACCGAUACUGACGCUGAGACGCGAAAGCGUGGGGAGCAAACAGGAUUAGAUACCCUGGUAGUCC